rnacentral:rRNA from 1 species
ACUACGGGAGGCAGCAGUGAGGAAUAUUGGUCAAUGGACGAGAGUCUGAACCAGCCAAGUAGCGUGAAGGAUGACGGCCCUACGGGUUGUAAACCUCUUUUGUAGGGGAGCAAAGCGAGUCACGUGUGACUCAUUGAGAGUACCCGAAGAAAAAGCAUCGGCUAACUCCGUGCGAGCAGCCGCGGUAAUACGGAGGAGGCGAGCGUUAUCCGGAUGUAGUGGGUUUAAAGGGUGCGUAGGCGGGCUUUUACGUCAGCGGUAAAAAUUCGGUGCUCAACCCCGUCCGGCCGUUGAAACUGGGGGCCUUGAGUGUGCGUGAAGAAGGCGGAAUGCGUGGUGUAGCGGUGAAAUGCAUAGAUAUCACGCAGAACCCCGAUUGCGAAGGCAGCCUUCCGGCGCCCUACUGACGCUGAGGCACGAAAGUGCGGGGAUCGAACAGGAUUAGAUACCCGGGUAGUC